AACGAACGCUGGCGGCAUGCCUAACACAUGCAAGUCGAACGAGACCUUCGGGUAUAGUGGCGCACGGGUGCGUAACGCGUGGGAACCUGCCCUUAGGUUCGGAAUAACUCCCCGAAAGGGGUGCUAAUACCGGAUAAUGUCUUCGGACCAAAGAUUUAUCGCCUUUGGAUGGGCCCGCGUUGGAUUAGCUAGUUGGUAGGGUAAAAGCCUACCAAGGCGACGAUCCAUAGCUGGUCUGAGAGGAUGAUCAGCCACACUGGGACUGAGACACGGCCCAGACUCCUACGGGAGGCAGCAGUGGGGAAUAUUGGACAAUGGGCGAAAGCCUGAUCCAGCAAUGCCGCGUGAGUGAUGCAGGCCUUAGGGUUGUAAAGCUCUUUUACCCGGGAUGAUAAUGACAGUACCGGGAGAAUAAGCUCCGGCUAACUCCGUG
rnacentral:rRNA from 1 species